rnacentral:rRNA from 1 species
UCGAGCGGUAGCACAGAGAGCUUGCUCUCGGGUGACGAGCGGCGGACGGGUGAGUAAUGUCUGGGAAACUGCCUGAUGGAGGGGGAUAACUACUGGAAACGGUAGCUAAUACCGCAUAACGUCGCAAGACCAAAGUGGGGGACCUUCGGGCCUCAUGCCAUCAGAUGUGCCCAGAUGGGAUUAGCUAGUAGGUGGGGUAACGGCUCACCUAGGCGACGAUCCCUAGCUGGUCUGAGAGGAUGACCAGCCACACUGGAACUGAGACACGGUCCAGACUCCUACGGGAGGCAGCAGUGGGGAAUAUUGCACAAUGGGCGCAAGCCUGAUGCAGCCAUGCCGCGUGUGUGAAGAAGGCCUUCGGGUUGUAAAGCACUUUCAGCGGGGAGGAAGGCGUUAAGGUUAAUAACCUUGUCGAUUGACGUUACCCGCAGAAGAAGCACCGGCUAACUCCGUGCCAGCAGCCGCGGUAAUACGGAGGGUGCAAGCGUUAAUCGGAAUUACUGGGCGUAAAGCGCACGCAGGCGGUCUGUCAAGUCGGAUGUGAAAUCCCCGGGCUCAACCUGGGAACUGCAUUCGAAACUGGCAGGCUAGAGUCUUGUAGAGGGGGGUAGAAUUCCAGGUGUAGCGGUGAAAUGCGUAGAGAUCUGGAGGAAUACCGGUGGCGAAGGCGGCCCCCUGGACAAAGACUGACGCUCAGGUGCGAAAGCGUGGGGAGCAAACAGGAUUAGAUACCCUGGUAGUCCACGCCGUAAACGAUGUCGAUUUGGAGGUUGUGCCCUUGAGGCGUGGCUUCCGGAGCUAACGCGUUAAAUCGACCGCCUGGGGAGUACGGCCGCAAGGUUAAAACUCAAAUGAAUUGACGGGGGCCCGCACAAGCGGUGGAGCAUGUGUUAAUUCGAUGCACGCGAAGAACCUUACCUGGUCU